CAGCGCCACGAGUGGGGAUCCUGUUUAUUUGGCCUAAAGCGUCCGUAGCUGGUUUAGUAAAUCUCUUGUGAAAUCGUUGGGCUUAACCCAGCGGCGUGCAGGAGAGACUGCUAAACUAGGGACUGGGAGGAGUAAGAGGUAUGCUGGGGGGAGCGGUAAAAUGCUAUAAUCCUCAGUAGACCACCUAUGGCGAAGGCAUCUUACUAGAACAGGUCCGACAGUGAGGGACGAAAGCCAGGGGAACAAACCGGAUUAGAUACCCGAGUAGUCC
rnacentral:rRNA from 1 species